GUCCUUUUAGUAUUAUUCAGUACAACUGACUUCCAAUCAGUUAGUUUCGGUACAAUCCGAACAAGAACA
rnacentral:tRNA from 1 species